rnacentral:rRNA from 1 species
GAUGAACGCUGGCGGCGUGCCUAAUACAUGCAAGUCGAGCGAACGGACGAGAAGCUUGCUUCUCUGAUGUUAGCGGCGGACGGGUGAGUAACACGUGGAUAACCUACCUAUAAGACUGGGAUAACUUCGGGAAACCGGAGCUAAUACCGGAUAAUAUUUUGAACCGCAUGGUUCAAAAGUUAAAGACGGUCUUGCUGGCACUUAUAGAUGUAUCCGCGCUGCAUUAGCUAUCUGGUAAGGUAACGGCUUACCAAGGCAACGAUGCAUAGCCGACCUGAGAGGGUGAUCGGCCACACUGGAACUGAGACACGGUCCAGACUCCUACGGGAGGCAGCAGUAGGGAAUCUUCCGCAAUGGGCGAAAGCCUGACGGAGCAACGCCGCGUGAGUGAUGAAGGUCUUCGGAUCGUAAAACUCUGUUAUUAGGGAAGAACAUAUGUGUAAGUAACUGUGCACAUCUUGACGGUACCUAAUCAGAAAGCCACGGCUAACUACGUG